AGUGAACGCUGGCGGUAGGCCUAACACAUGCAAGUCGAACGGCAGCACAGUAAGAGCUUGCUCUUACGGGUGGCGAGUGGCGGACGGGUGAGGAAUAAAUCGGAAUCUACUUUUUCGUGGGGGAUAACGUAGGGAAACUAAGGUAAUUACCGAAAAGGACCAACGGGUGAAAGAGGGGGACUAUCGAACUUUGGGGGAUGGAAGAAGCCGAUGUCGGAUUAGCUAGUUGGCGGGGUAAAGGCCCACCAAGGCGACGAUCCGUAGCUGGUCUGAGAGGAUGAUCAGCCACACUGGAACUGAGACACGGUCCAGACUCCUACGGGAGGCAGCAGUGGGGAAUAUUGGACAAUGGGCGCAAGCCUGAUCCAGCCAUACCGCGUGGGUGAAGAAGGCCUUCGGGUUGUAAAGCCCUUUUGUUGGGAAAGAAAAGCAGCAGGUUAAUACCCCGCUGUUCUGACGGUACCCAAAGAAUAAGCACCGGCUAACUUCGUG
rnacentral:rRNA from 1 species